GAUCCUGGCUCAGGAUGAACGCUAGCUACAGGCUUAACACAUGCAAGUCGAGGGGGCAGCAUUUUAGUUUGCUUGCAAACUAAAGAUGGCGACCGGCGCACGGGUGAGUAACACGUAUCCAACCUGCCGAUAACUCUGGGAUAGCCUUUCGAAAGAAAGAUUAAUACCGGAUGGCAUAGGAUUAUCGCAUGAUAAUCCUAUUAAAGAAUUUCGGUUAUCGAUGGGGAUGCGUUCCAUUAGG
rnacentral:rRNA from 1 species